AGAUUGAACGCUGGCGGCAGGCCUAACACAUGCAAGUCGAGCGGUAGAGAGGUGCUUGCAUCUCUUGAGAGCGGCGGACGGGUGAGUAAUGCCUAGGAAUCUGCCUAGUGGUGGGGGAUAACGUUCGGAAACGGACGCUAAUACCGCAUACCGUCCUACGGGAGAAAGCGGGGGACCUUCGGGCCUCGCGCCAUUAGAUGAGCCUAGGUCGGAUUAGCUAGUUGGUGAGGUAAUGGCU
rnacentral:rRNA from 1 species